rnacentral:lncRNA from 1 species
AUGAUUUAUAGCUUAGUUUGGGGAAAUUAUCUCGUUGGUUUCUGCGUUAAAAUACUGAAUUCAGCCGUUGUGAUCGGAUUCUAUUAUGGAUUUCUGACUACAUUCUCCAUAGGACCGUCUUAUCUCUUCCUUCUUCGAGGGCAAAUCUUAGGAAAGGGAUCUGAAAUGAAAAUAUCAGCAACAACCGGGUUUAUUACGGGACAGCUCAUGAUGUUUAUAUCGAUCUAUUAUGCGCCUUUGCAUUUGGCAUUGAGUAGACCUCAUACAAUAACAGUCUUAACUCUACCUUAUUAA